rnacentral:rRNA from 1 species
GAUGAACGCUAGCUACAGGCUUAACACAUGCAAGUCGAGGGGCAGCAUUAUCUUAGCUUGCUAAGAUAGAUGGCGACCGGCGCACGGGUGAGUAACACGUAUCCAACCUUCCGGUUACUCGGGGAUAGGCUUUCGAAAGAAAGAUUAAUACCCGAUGUUGCGUAUCUUUCUCCUGAAAGAUACGCCAAAGGAUUCCGGUAACCGAUGGGGAUGCGUUCCAUUAGGCAGUUGGCGGGGUAACGGCCCACCAAACCUUCGAUGGAUAGGGGUUCUGAGAGGAAGGUCCCCCACAUUGGAACUGAGACACGGUCCAAACUCCUACGGGAGGCAGCAGUGAGGAAUAUUGGUCAAUGGACGGAAGUCUGAACCAGCCAAGUAGCGUGAAGGAUGACUGCCCUCUGGGUUGUAAACUUCUUUUAUACGGGAAUAACAUGAGGUACGCGUACCUUAUUGCAUGUACCGUUAUGAAUAAGCAUCGGCUAACUCCGUGCCAGCAGCCGCGGUAAUACGGAGGAUGCGAGCGUUAUCCGGAUUUAUUGGGUUUAAAGGGAGCGUAGGUGGGAUAUUAAGUCAGCUGUGAAAGUUUGGGGCUCAACCUUAAAAUUGCAGUUGAUACUGGUUUCCUUGAGUACGGUACAGGUGGACGGAAUUCGUGGUGUAGCGGUGAAAUGCUUAGAUAUCACGAAGAACUCCGAUCGCGAAGGCAGCUCACCGGGCCGGAACUGACACUGAUGCUCGAAAGUGCGGGUAUCANACAGG